UACGGAGGGUGCAAGCAUUAAUCGGAAUUAUUGGACGUAAAGGGCGCGUAGGCGGGUAAGUAAGUCAGAUGUGAAAUUCCGGGACUCAAUUCCGGAGCUGCAUUUGAAACUGCUUGUCUUGAGGAUUGGCGGAGAGAACGGAAUUCCACGUGUAGCGGUGAAAUGCGUAGAGUAUGUGGAAGAACACCGGUGGCGAAAGCGGUUCUCUAGCUAAUAACUGACGCUGAGGCGCGAGAGCAAGGGGAUCAAACAGG
rnacentral:rRNA from 1 species